UGGGAUGUCACUCAGUGGUAGAGCACAUGCCUACCAUGCAUGAGGUCCUGGGUUCAAGCUCAGCAAAAUAA
rnacentral:tRNA from 1 species